rnacentral:ncRNA from 2 species
UAAUAUCUCAAUGCUUGUGGAGACUUAUGGUUGAACUGUUGAACUGUAAGUCUGUGACGGGUAAACGAGCAUGUACCC